UACGUAGGGGGCAAGCGUUGUCCGGAAUCAUUGGGCGUAAAGCGCGCGUAGGCGGCCCGGUAAGUCCGCUGUAAAAGUCCAGGGCUCAACCCUGGAAAGCCGGUGGAUACUGUCGGGCUAGAGUCCGGAAGAGGCGAGUGGAAUUCCUGGUGUAGCGGUGGAAUGCGCAGAUAUCAGGAGGAACACCGAUGGCGAAGGCAGCUCGCUGGGACGGUACUGAGCUAAGGCGGCCGAAAGCGUGGGGAGCGAACAGG
rnacentral:rRNA from 1 species